rnacentral:rRNA from 1 species
GAUGAACGCUGGCGGCGUGCUUAACACAUGCAAGUCGAACGAUGAAGCCCAGCUUGCUGGGUGGAUUAGUGGCGAACGGGUGAGUAACACGUGAGUAACCUGCCCUUAACUCUGGGAUAAGCCUGGGAAACUGGGUCUAAUACCGGAUAGGAGCGUCCACCGCAUGGAGGGUGUUGGAAAGAUUGAUCGGUUUUGGAUGGACUCGCGGCCUAUCAGCUUGUUGGUGAGGUAAUGGCUCACCAAGGCGACGACGGGUAGCCGGCCUGGGAGGGUGACCGGCCACACUGGGACUGAGACACGGCCCAGACUCCUACGGGAGGCAGCAGUGGGGAAUAUUGCACAAUGGGCGCAAGCCUGAUGCAGCGACGCCGCGUGAGGGAUGACGGCCUUCGGGUUGUAAACCUCUUUCAGUAGGGAAGAAGCGAAAGUGACGGUACCUGCAGAAGGAGCACCGGCUAACUACGUG